AUCACACCAGUUCUCAUCCAAUCACCAAAGUUAAGCAACAACAAGCCUGGUCAGUACCUAGAUGGGUGACCACUUGGGAAUACCAGGUGCUAUC